GAUGAACGCUGGCGGCGUGCCUAAUACAUGCAAGUCGAGCGAACAGAUGAGGAGCUUGCUCCUCUGACGUUAGCGGCGGACGGGUGAGUAACACGUGGAUAACCUACCUAUAAGACUGGGAUAACUUCGGGAAACCGGAGCUAAUACCGGAUAAUAUAUUGAACCGCAUGGUUCAAUAGUGAAAGACGGUUUUGCUGUCACUUAUAGAUGGAUCCGCGCCGCAUUAGCUAGUUGGUAAGGUAACGGCUUACCAAGGCAACGAUGCGUAGCCGACCUGAGAGGGGUGUUGGCCCAAAUGGAACUGAGACACGGUCCAGACUCCUACGGGAGGCAGCAGUAGGGAAUCUUCCGCAAUGGGCGAAAGCCUGACGGAGCAACGCCGCGUGAGUGAUGAAGGUCUUCGGAUCGUAAAACUCUGUUAUUAGGGAAGAACAAAUGUGUAAGUAACUAUGCACGUCUUGACGGUACCUAAUCAGAAAGCCACGGCUAACUACGUG
rnacentral:rRNA from 1 species